rnacentral:rRNA from 1 species
CGAACGCUGGCGGCGUGGAUUAGGCAUGCAAGUCGAACGAGAAAGGUUCCUUCGGGAACUGAGUACAGUGGCAAACGGGUGAGUAACGCGUGGGAAACCUGCCCUUCAGUUGGGAACAACACCCCUAACGGGGUGCUAAUACCGAAUACGAUCUCCCGGUCUCAUGUCCGGUUGAUGAAAGGCGGCCUCUGCUUGCAUGCUGUCGCUGAAGGAUGGUCCCGCGUCCCAUUAGCUUGUUGGUAGGGUAACGGCCUACCAAGGCGACGAUGGGUAGCCGGCCUUAGCGGGUGACCGGCCACACUGGGACUGAGAUACGGCCCAGACUCCUACGGGAGGCAGCAGUCGAGAAGCUUCCACAAUGGGGGAAACCCUGAUGGAGCGACGCCGCGUGGAUGAUGACGGCCUUCGGGUUGUAAAGUCCUUUCAGCAGGGACGAUAGAAGUGCGGAUUAAUACCUCGUGUUUUCAGACGGUACCUGCAGAAGAAGCUCCGGCUAACUCC